GACGAACGCUGGCGGCGUGCUUAACACAUGCAAGUCGAACGGUAAGGCCCUUCGGGGUACACGAGUGGCGAACGGGUGAGUAACACGUGGGUAAUCUGCCCUGCACUUCGGGAUAAGCCUGGGAAACUGGGUCUAAUACCGGAUAUUCAGUUCCUGCCGCAUGGUGGGGGGUGGAAAGUUUUUCGGUGCAGGAUGAGCCCGCGGCCUAUCAGCUUGUUGGUGGGGUAAUGGCCUACCAAGGCGACGACGGGUAGCCGGCCUGAGAGGGUGAUCGGCCACACUGGGACUGAGACACGGCCCAGACUCCUACGGGAGGCAGCAGUGGGGAAUAUUGCACAAUGGGCGAAAGCCUGAUGCAGCGACGCCGCGUGAGGGAUGACGGUCUUCGGAUUGUAAACCCCUUUCAGUAGGGACGAAGCGCAAGUGACGGUACCUGCAGAAGAAGCACCGGCCAACUACGUG
rnacentral:rRNA from 1 species